rnacentral:rRNA from 1 species
UUACGGGAGGCAGCAGUGAGGGAUAUUGGGCAAUGGGCGCAAGCCUGACCCAGCGACGCCGCGUGGAGGACGAAGGGCUUCGGCUCGUAAACUCCUUUUCCUGCGGACGAGACAAGGACGGUACGCAGGGAAUAAGUCUCGGCUAACUACGUGCCAGCAGCCGCGGUAAAACGUAGGAGGCGAGCGUUAUCCGGAAUCACUGGGCGUAAAGGGCGUCUAGGCGGGUUGGUCAGCGAGGUGUGAAAGCUCCCGGCUCAACUGGGAGAGUGCGCUUCGAACUGCCAGCCUUGAGGUGAGCAGAAGGGGGUGGAAUUCCCGGUGGAGUGGUGAAAUGCGUAGAGAUCGGGAGGAACACCAGUGGCGAAAGCGGCCCCCUAGGCUUAUCCUGACGCUGAAGCGCGAAAGCGUGGGGAGCAAACGGGAUUAGAUACCCGUGUAGUCCU